UUUUUUUUUUUGUUUUUUUUUUUUGCUUUUUAGGGCUGUACCCUCAGCAUAUGUUAGUUUCCAGGCUAGGGGUUGAAUCGGAGCUGCAGCUGCCAGCCUAUGCUACAGCCACAGCGACACCAGAUCUGAGCCAUGUCUGCAACCUACAGCACAGCUCUUGGCAACACCAUAUCCUUAACCCACUAAGUGAGGCCAGGAAUCAAACCCGCAUCCUCAUGGAUGUUAGUUAGUUCAUAACCUGCUGAUCCUCAAAAGGAACCCCAGAUUUAAUAAUACUUAGGCAGAGAAACAAAAACUAUUUUAAAAAAAGAGGAAGAGCCAAAUGGAAAUUCUCAAAAUAAAAAAAAAAAAUGCAGUAUCUGAAAUGAAAAACUCACUGAAUAGGCUUAACAAUAAACAAGAUAGAGAAAAUAUUGCUGAAUGCAAGAAAUCAACAGAAAUUAUCCAAACUAAAACAGAGAAAAAAGGAAUUAAACAAAUAGAAAAGUUCAGGAUUCAAGAGUUAGAAUCCCUGAAGUAAUACCAAAUAGUCCGGAAAGAGAUGAAAAAGAGAAGGGAGUAGAAGAAAUAUUUGAAGAGAAAAUGGCAGAAUUUUUCCAAAACUGAUGUAAAAAUAAGUCCACAGCUUCUUCAAAAAAUUCAGCAAAUCGCAAACAAAAUGAAACAAAGAAAACUGAAUUUCUUAAAAUAAAAAUAAAAAGAAAAUUUUAAAAUUAUCCAAAGAAAAAGGACAGUUUACAUUCAGGUUAACGAGAAUGACAGCUGACCUUUCAUCAAAAACAAUAAAAGCUAGGCAAUAACAGAAAUGCAUUUCAAUUGCUGAAAGAAAAAAACUGUCAACCUAGAAUUCUAAACCUUGCAAGAAAUAUCCUUUAAACAUGAAGGUUAGGGUAAAGAUAUUUUCAGACAAACAAAACCUGAAAAAACUCAUCACCAGCAGACAUAUACUAUUAAGAAAUGCUAAAGGAAUUUCUUCAGACUGAAAGAAAAUAAUCUCAGAUGGAAGUCUGGAUCUGCAGGAAAGAAUGACAAGUACCAGAAAAUACUGGGAACAAGAAAAGUAUGUCCACUCUCACCACUUCUAUUCAGUACUUUAGGGGAGGUACUAGCCAGUGCCAUGAAGCAAGAAAAAGAACUGAAGGCACAAAGAUUGGGAAGGAAUUAAAACUAUGUUUAUUUUCAGAUAACAUGACUAUAUACAGAGCAUCCAAUUUAAUUUACCAAGUUCAAAUGACACAAAGUUAAUAUAAACAAGUCAAGCAAGUUCUACUACUAGCAACAUAAUUGGAAAGAUAAAAUUAAAAAACAAUACUAUUUAUAAUAGAAUUUAAAAAUAACAAACACUUAGCAGUAACAUUGGCAAAAAGGUGUGAAAGACCUCUAAAAUGAAAACUAGGAAACCUUGCUAAUAGAAGUUUAAGAAAAUCACAAUAAACACAUAGCUAUACAGUGGUCAAGAACAGGAAGACUCAAUAUUAUUAACAAGCAAACUUUCCCCAAAUUGAUCUAGAUUCAAUACAAUUCCAAUCAAAAUCCCAGCAAGUUAUUUUGUGGGUAUCAACAUACUGAUUAUAAAGUUUAAAUGGAAAGCAAGAGAACCAGAAUAACCAACAUAAUAUUAAAGGAGAAAAAUAAGGUUGGAGAAGCAAACUACAGAACUUGUUUGUUCUGUUCAAACAAGACUGUUUGAACUGCUAAAAGAACAGACAAAUAGAUUAAUGAAAAUAGAGUUCAGAAAUAGACAAAUACAGUCAACAGAUCCUUGACGAAAGAGCAAAGGCAAAUCAAUGGAGAAAGGACCGUCUUUUCAACACACGAUGCUGGAACAAAUGGACAUCUACAUGCAAAAAAAAAAGUAUACACAUAACUCUUUUACUUUUCAUAAAAAUCAGACCAAAAUGGAUCACAGACAUAACUGUAAAACAAAAACUAUAAAACUCCUAGAUGACAGCACAGGGGAAAACUUAAAUAACCUUGAGUUUGCUAACGACUUUUUAAAUACAAUAUUUUGAGGUCCACAGUUGAGUGUCCUGGAUAUAAUCCCCCAUGGAUAUCAAGGGACAACUGUAUACUGAAUAUAAUUUGGGAUUCCUGUUAUAAAUGUCGAUUUUAUGAUAGUGAUAUUCAGAGAAACUACUGAUAUAUAUGAGUAAGAUUGUCUGUCCCUAUCAUCAAUUAUCACCAGAUUGGUCUACUUUUAGUUUAUAGAAAAAUAUUUCAUCCUGUCAGCAUAAAAACCUACAAAUGCCCCUCUGUUCUUAUUGCUGCUUCUAUCCAUGUGAACUUAGAAACCAAAUACUACUUAUUUGAAUUGCCUAAAAUAAAACUAAUCUCUAAAUGAAAGCCUGAGGGAUUCUUCUAUAAGUACAGAAAUGUUAGCCACAUAUUUUCAUAAAAUCUCCAUUAACCAUUUAGAGACUUUUUUACGAUAUAAUUUUAUAGGAAAAACAUGGGCCUUAUAGUCACAGAGGAGCUCAGAUCCUACCUUUAGCCCUUACUUACUAGCUGCGUAAUUCUGGGUAAAUACAUAAUAAACCAUCUUCCCUACAUGUUUGCACACUUGUUAAAUCAUCAUCACCUAACUCAUAGUUGCUAUGAAAUUAAAUGUGAUACUUAUGUUAAAAAAACAAACAAACAAACAAAACAACUGGAGUUCCCGUCGUGGCUCAGUGGUUAACGAAUCCUACUAGGAACCAUGAGGUUGCGGGUGUGCUCCCUGGCCUUGCUCAGUUGGUUAAGGAUCUGGUGUUGCUGUGAGCUGUGGUGUAGGUUGCAGACGAGGCUUGGAUCCCGCAUUGCUGUGGCUGUUGUACAGGCCGGCGGCUACAGCUCCAAUUAGACCCCUGGUCUGGGAAUCUCCAUAUGCCGCGGGAGCAGCCCUAGAAAAGGCAAAAAGAUAACAAAAACAAAAAACAAAACAAAAAACUGACUGCUACAAGGUAGGUGCAAAAUUAAAAGGCCUCUUUCAUCUUUGAUUCAAACAGUUAAUAAGGCAAAUUUACUAAAUUUUUCUGUCUCUUAUACAGUAAAUGAAAUUUUCCAUUUCUUUUUCAACAUUUUUUAUUUCUUGAAUUUCUAUAUAUGGUGUUUAUUCUCCCUGCCAAAGAGCUUAUGAGUAUUUUAUGCCUUUCUUGUCCUCUGAAACUGAGACACUGCUCCUGCAUGGCUCAAUGGGUUGAAAUCCUUGGGAUUGUACUGAGAACAUGGGAAAGAAUGUGCAAUCCUAACUGCUCACACUCCUAGAUGAUAAAUAAACUUCCUAAAGUCAAAGUCUCUGCCUGCUACUUAUCAGUAACAUAACUUUUGGACUAACUACUCUAUUCCUCUGAGCCUUUAUUUCUUCAUAUUCAAAAAGAAUAUCAAUCUCCAAUAAUAUGUCCAAUUAUUUAGAACAAAACACCCACUGAAAAAUUUUAAUUAAUAAAAUAGAAAUAUAUACUCUCAAAAGUAUCAAAGAGCUGACAAGAUGGUAAGGAAUUACAUUGCCAAAAUAUAAGAAAGGGCAGGAAUUCAGCAGAAUAGUGAAGCCAAGUUAGCCUUGACUGAAACCAAGCUUGGCUUUGGUUUUCACAGUCUCAUAAAGAUUACAGCCAAAUCAGGGCCCACCCUUGGUAGCAAUCUGAUAGGAGACCCUAUACUAUAGGACUUGAACUCAUAAAUUAAACCAAAGUAAACCUGUCCCAUUCUACCCUAUCCCCCAAGAACUGUGAGGUAAGUUGCUCUGGUACUGAGCUGUAAAGGAAAGUUCCAGACAAGUUAUAAUUUUUUUCUGCACAGGGCCAGAUAUCAAUACUUUAGGCAUUGGAGGCCAUAUUGAUCUGUUACAUCCACUCAAUUCCGUGUACAUUUGUAGCAUGAAAACAGCCGCAGAUAAUACAGAAAACAAAUGUAUUCCAAUAAAAUUUUAUUUAUGAACACUGAGAUUUGAAUUUCAUAAAAUUUUCACGUUGCAAAAUAUUACUUAUUUUUUCAAAUCAUUUAAAAGUGUAAAAACUACUCUUAGCUUGCAACCUUACAAAAAAAGCUGACAUAAGCCACAAUUUGCUUUGAAUUAAAACCGCAAGACACACCACCUCAGCUACUACUACCCCACACACACAUAUGCACGACACACAUACACAAACACAUUUUUGUUGCCUUAGUUCAUAUUACCUGAAUGAUACACACAAAAACCUAGGUUACAGGCAUCUAGAAGAUCCAUGUGCAAAUAUCACAAAUAAUGUCCCAAGAAAACGUAUUACUGAGAUCAAGGAAGAAGGAAGCAAAGCAUUAUGAAUGAGAAGAAAUAAAUGAAGAAUAGAAACAUAUCUGUAAAAAUUUAAGAUAUUGGAAAUGACCACACAGAAAAUAUAACUGAUUACUAAUGUUUCAAGUGAUAAGACUGAAAAUAUUUUAUCACUUGAAAAGAACCAUAAAAAAUGACCAUGAGGAUUUGAAAAAGAACUAAAAAGAACAUUAAAAUUAUUUUAAAAAACAACUGAAAUUAAAAAUAAAUGAAAUAGGAGUUCCCGUCGUGGCGCAGUGGUUAACGAAUCCGACUAGGAACCAUGAGGUUGCGGGUUCGGUCCCUGCCCUUGCUCAUGGGUUAAAGAUCCGGCGUUGCCGUGAGCUGUGGUGUAGGUUGCAGACGCGGCUCGGAUCCCGCGUUGCUGUGGCUCUGGCGUAGGCCGGUGGCUACAGCUCCGAUUCAACCCCUAGCCAGGGAACCUCCAUAUGCCGCGGAAGUGGCCCAAGAAAUAGCAACAACAACAACAACAACAAAAAAGACAAAAAGACAAAAAAAAAAAAAGAAAAUAUUUUGAAUAAACGUAACAAAAAUAUUACAUUCUAAAAUCUGUGAGAUGUAGCUAAGGCAAUAUUUUACAGGGAAAUUUAUAACCCUAAAUAUGUAUAAUAGAAAAAAACAAAAAUUAGGGACCUAUUAAAGAAGAGAGGAAAAAAAUAGCAAAGUAAAGCUGGGAAAAGUCAAAGGAAAUAGCAAAAAUGAGAAAUAAAAGGAAAAUAUAAAAUAAAAAGGGUCAACAGAGCCAGAAGUGGGUCUGAAAAAACAAUAAAUUGGCAAACCUCUGACAAGACUAUUAAGGAAAAGAAAGGGAAAGGAGUCAGAAAGGGCAAAAACUACUAAUGUUGCAAACAUUACAAUGGCCCCCAUCUACUUCUAUCAACAUAGUAUCCUAUCAGCAUAGAUCCUAGGUAGCAUAAGAAAGCAAGAAAAAAUAACAAAAGGCAUGAGGAUUAGAAACAAGAAAGAGUUAUUAUCUACAUAUGACAUAACUGUGUAUACAGAAAAUGUGAAAGAAAUUACAAACCACUUAUUAAUUCUAUCAUUUAACAGAUACAUGUUGACUUUAGUUUUAUAGCUCUACAAACCAACAAUUAAAAAAAUAAUCUUUUAAAGAGAUAACUACUUACAAUUGCAUCAGAAAAUGUGAAGUGCUCAAGAGCAAAUCUAACAAAUAAUGCACAAAAACACCUGACAAAAAUGAGACUUCAUUAUGAAUCACUACAGAAAUGGAAGGACAUCCACGUUCAUAGUUUGGAAGACUCAAUGCUGGAAAAAUGUCAGUUCUUCCCAAAUUAAUCUAUAGAGUCAGUUCAAUCUCAAUAAAAAUCCCAAAUGUUGUUUUUCUGUUGGAUUAUUUGGUGGAGUUUUUGUGAAAUCCGACAUGGUGACUCUAAAAUAUACAUGGGCCAAAGUGUAAUUC
ensembl:lncRNA